AACCGAGAACUCCUACGGGAGGCAGCAGUCGGGAAUCUUCGGCAAUGGGCGAAAGCCUGACCGAGCGACGCCGCGUGAGGGAUUGAAGGCCUUCGGGUUGUAAACCUCUUUCGUAGAGGAGGAAGGGGCCGUGAAGAACGGUCUUUGACCUAUUCUAGGAAGAAGCUUGGGCUAAGUUCGUGCCAGCAGCCGCGGUAAGACGAACCAAGCGAACGUUAUUCGGAAUUACUGGGCUUAAAGCGCGUGUAGGCGGAUGACCACGUCAGUUGUUGAAAUCCCCCGGCUCAACCGGGGAACUGGCACUGAUACGAGUCGUCUGGAGGUGGGUAGGGGAGACUGGAACUUCCGGUGGAGCGGUGAAAUGCGUUGAGAUCGGAAGGAACGCCCGCGGCGAAAGCGAGUCUCUGGACCCAUACUGACGCUGAGACGCGAAAGCCAGGGGAGCAAACGGGAUUAGAUACCCGAGUAGUCCGACUGAGA
rnacentral:rRNA from 1 species